rnacentral:rRNA from 1 species
UACGGAGGGUGCGAGCGUUGUCCGGAAUCACUGGGCGUAAAGGGCGCGUAGGCGGCAUGCCAAGCGUGUGGUGAAAGCCCGGGGCUCAACCCCGGGUCGGCCGUGCGGACUGGCGUGCUCGAGCACUGUAGGGGCGGGUGGAAUUCCGGGUGUAGCGGUGGAAUGCGUAGAGAUCCGGAAGAACACCGGUGGCGAAGGCGGCCCGCUGGGCAGGAAGGCUCGCAAGAGACGGCUGACGCUGAGGCGCGACAGCGUGGGGAGCAAACAGG